rnacentral:rRNA from 1 species
GACGUAGGGCGCGAGCGUUGUCCGGAUUUAUUGGGCGUAAAGGGCGCGUAGGCGGCCUGUUAAGUCGAACGUGAAAUCCCCGGGCUCAACCCGGGAACUGCGUCCGAUACUGGCAGGCUUGAAUCCGGGAGAGGGAUGCGGAAUUCCAGGUGUAGCGGUGAAAUGCGUAGAUAUCUGGAGGAACACCGGUGGCGAAGGCGGCAUCCUGGACCGGCAUUGACGCUGAGGCGCGAAAGCCAGGGGAGCAAACAGG